AGAGUUUGAUCAUGGCUCAGAUUGAACGCUGGCGGCAGGCUUAACACAUGCAAGUCGAGCGGUAGGAGAGCUUGCUCUCUACGAGCGGCGGACGGGUGAGUAAUGUCUGGGAAACUGCCUGAUAGAGGGGGAUAACUACUGGAAACGGUGGCUAAUACCGCAUAAUGUCGCAAGACCAAAGAGGUUCGUCUUGCCAUCAGAUGUGCCCAGAUGGGAUUAGCUAGUAGGUGGGGUAAUGGCUCACCUAGGCGACGAUCCCUAGCUGGUCUGAGAGGAUGACCAGCCACACUGGAACUGAGACACGGUCCAGACUCCUACGGGAGGCAGCAGUGGGGAAUAUUGCACAAUGGGCGCAAGCCUGAUGCAGCCAUGCCGCGUGUAUGAAGAAGGCCUUAGGGUUGUAAAGUACUUUCAGCGAGGAGGAAGGCGUUUGUUAAUGCAACGGUUGACGUUACUCGCAGAAGAAGCACCGGCUAACUCCGUGCCAGCAGCCGCGGUAAU
rnacentral:rRNA from 1 species